GAUGAACGCUGGCGGCGUGCCUAAUACAUGCGAGUCGAGCGAACGGACGAGAAGCUUGCUUCUCUGAUGUUAGCGGCGGACGGGUGAGUAACACGUGGAUAACCUACCUAUAAGACUGGGAUAACUUCGGGAAACCGGAGCUAAUACCGGAUAAUAUUUUGAACCGCAUGGUUCAAAAGUGAAAGACGGUCUUGCUGUCACUUAUAGAUGGAUCCGCGCUGCAUUAGCUAGUUGGUAAGGUAACGGCUUACCAAGGCAACGAUGCAUAGCCGACCUGAGAGGGUGAUCGGCCACACUGGAACUGAGACACGGUCCAGACUCCUACGGGAGGCAGCAGUAGGGAAUCUUCCGUAAUGGGCGAAAGCCUGACGGAGCAACGCCGCGUGAGUGAUGAAGGUCUUCGGAUCGUAAAACUCUGUUAUUAGGGAAGAACAUAUGUGUAAGUAACUGUGCACAUCUUGACGGUACCUAAUCAGAAAGCCACGGCUAACUACGUG
rnacentral:rRNA from 1 species